UUUGGAGAGUUUGAUCCUGGCUCAGGACGAACGCUGGCGGCGUGCCUAAUACAUGCAAGUCGAGCGGAGCUUAUCCUUCGGGAUAAGCUUAGCGGCGGACGGGUGAGUAACACGUAGGCAACCUACCCUCUAGACUGGGAUAACUACCGGAAACGGUAGCUAAUACCGGAUAAUUCCUUCACCCUCAUGGGCGAGGGAUGAAAGGCGGAGCAAUCUGCUACUAGAGGAUGGGCCUGCGGCGCAUUAGCUAGUUGGUGGGGUAAUGGCCUACCAAGGCGACGAUGCGUAGCCGACCUGAGAGGGUGAACGGCCACACUGGGACUGAGACACGGCCCAGACUCCUACGGGAGGCAGCAGUAGGGAAUCUUCCGCAAUGGGCGAAAGCCUGACGGAGCAACGCCGCGUGAGUGAUGAAGGUUUUCGGAUCGUAAAGCUCUGUUGCCAGGGAAGAACGUCCGGUAGAGUAACUGCUACCGGAGUGACGGUACCUGAGAAGAAAGCCCCGGCUAACUACGUGCCAGCAGCCGCGGUAAUACGUAGGGGGCAAGCGUUGUCCGGAAUUA
rnacentral:rRNA from 1 species